UACGUAGGGUGCGAGCGUUGUCCGGAAUUAUUGGGCGUAAAGAGCUUGUAGGCGGUUUGUCGCGUCUGCCGUGAAAAUCCGAGGCUCAACCUCGGACUUGCGGUGGGUACGGGCAGACUAGAGUGUGGUAGGGGAGACUGGAAUUCCUGGUGUAGCGGUGAAAUGCGCAGAUAUCAGGAGGAACACCGAUGGCGAAGGCAGGUCUCUGGGCCGUAACUGACGCUGAGGAGCGAAAGCGUGGGGAGCGAACAGG
rnacentral:rRNA from 1 species